UGUUGUAUAUAUUAGAGGAACAAAGACAUGUAAAAUGAUGUAUAAAUGAGCAUGUAUGUGAUGUAAAUAACUAAAAGUAGUAGUUAUCUGGUUUUAUAGUUUUGGUUUAAAGUUUUAAAAGAAAGUACAGUGAAUGCAUGUUUAGUUAGUUUCUUUCACUUGUUCUUGUUGCUUGCCCUCGUGCAAGCUAUGUAUAUUGAAAUGUUAUUCUGGGAAUUAUUUUUUUCUUUAUACAUGUACUCGUUAUUGUUGAGCCUUGGGCGGACAGGGGAGGUGCU
rnacentral:lncRNA from 1 species